rnacentral:rRNA from 1 species
GACGAACGCUGGCGGCGUGCUUAACACAUGCAAGUCGAACGGAAAGGCCCUGCCUUUGUGGGGUGCUCGAGUGGCGAACGGGUGAGUAACACGUGAGUAACCUGCCCUUGACUUUGGGAUAACUUCAGGAAACUGGGGCUAAUACCGGAUAGGAGCUCCUGCUGCAUGGCGGGGGUUGGAAAGUUUCGGCGGUUGGGGUUGGACUCGCGGCUUAUCAGCUUGUUGGUGGGGUAGUGGCUUACCAAGGCUUUGACGGGUAGCCGGCCUGAGAGGGUGACCGGCCACAUUGGGACUGAGGUACGGCCCAGACUCCUACUGGAGGCAGCGGUGGGGAAUUUUGCACAAUGGGCGGAAGCCUGAUGCAGCAACUCCGCGUGCGGGAUGACGGCCUUCGGGUUGUAAACCGCUUUCGCCUGUGACGAAGCGUGAGUGACGGUAAUGGGUAAAGAAGCACCGGCUAACUACGUG